rnacentral:lncRNA from 1 species
AAAGGGGAAAUCCCCACUAAGAGACCAUCUAUCCUUUGAACAGUGGUCAAUAUUGUUACUAUCUUUGUGGAGAACAUGACUCUGCUGGCGGUGGGCUCACAUGAUGUGGACCCCUUCUGCGUUACAAGAUCGAGUCCAAGGGAGAAGGCCACGCUGGGGUGUCUGCUUUACAGGAAAAAUGCCUUUGCCUUCAUACAGGUUAACUCAGAAGACAAGAGUGCUCCAGCUAAGCUGGUAGAACCUGUUAGGACCAAUGACAAUGACAGAUAUGACAUAAUCUGU